rnacentral:rRNA from 1 species
GACGAACGCUGGCGGCGUGCUUAACACAUGCAAGUCGAACGGAGUGGCGAACGGGGGAGUAACACGUUGGUGAUCUGCCUUGCACUUCGGGAUAAACUUGGGAAACUGGGACUAAUACCGGAUAUUGCAAGAUGAGCUCGCGGCCUAUCUGCUUGGUGGUGGGGUAAUGGCCUACCAAGGCGUCGACGGGUAUCCGGACUGUGAGGGUGUACGGCGACAUUGGGACUGAGAUACGGCCCAGACUCCGACGGGAGGCAGCAGUGGGGAAUAGUGCACAAUGGGCGGAAGCCUGAUGCAGCGACGCCGCGUGGGGGAUGAAGGCCUUCGGGUUGUAAACGCCUUUCGACAGGGACGCGGUACCUGUAUAAGAAGCACCGGCUAACUACGUGCCAGCAGCCGCGGUAAUAC